AUUGAACGCUGGCGGCAUGCUUUACACAUGCAAGUCGAACGGCAGCACGGACUUCGGUCUGGUGGCGAGUGGCGAACGGGUGAGUAAUACAUCGGAACGUACCCAGUAAUGGGGGAUAACUAGUCGAAAGAUUAGCUAAUACCGCAUACGCCCUACGGGGGAAAGAGGGGGAUCGCAAGACCUCUUGUUAUUGGAGCGGCCGAUGGCUGAUUAGCUAGUUGGUGGGGUAAAGGCCUACCAAGGCGACGAUCAGUAGCGGGUCUUAGAGGACGGUCCGCCACACUGGAACUGGGUCACGGUCCAGACUCCUACGGGAGGCAGCAGUGGGGAAUCUUGGACAAUGGGCGAAAGCCUGAUCCAGCAAUGCCGCGUGCGUGAAGAAGGCCUUCGGGUUGUAAAGCGCUUUUGUCUGGGAGCAAAUCCUUGUGGCUAAUACUCUGUGUGGAUGACGGUACCAGCACAAGAAGCACCGGCUAUCUACGUGCCAGCAGCCGCCGUAA
rnacentral:rRNA from 1 species